GCCAGGACCAAGCGGAGGGCAGCCCCGGAGCUGGCCGCCCCCAGCGCGCGCUCACCAGCUCGGCGCUCAGCCGGCCCAGUGCGCCCUCGAAGCACGCCCGGCUCUGCUGCUCGCGCGCCGCCGCCCGCUGGAAGGCGCUCGCCAGCCGCCGCCUGAGGUCUUCCAGCAGCUGGCGGGCGGCGGGGGCCUCCUCCGGCACGCGCACGCUCUGGCCGCCCCCGGGGAAGCCGCGCGCGUGACGCGGGGCUGGGGGCCAGAUCCCGGCCCUGCCUGGGACUCUGCGGGGCCCGCGGGAAGCUCUGUUUCGGCGGCGGCGGGACGCCCUGGGCCCAUCUGAGAGAUGCCGGUGCCAGCCUUCCAGAUGGGAUCCUGAGGUUCAACGAAGUUAAGAGACUUACCUAAGGUCAUGUAGUAGACAUGGCUAAAGUGGGAUUUGAUUCCAGAUUAUAUGGCUCCAAGGAUGCUUGAUGAGCAGUGCCAGGUCUGCACCUGGGAUCCGAACCCAUGAACCCCAGGCCACCGAAGCAGAGCACACUAACUCAACCACUACACCACUGGGCCGGCCCCUGGAUGACCAUUUUAAAUUGUCAGUAAUCACACGGAACCAGUAUAAUCAUCUCGAUCACAUCCUUUAAGUGUGUAAGACUUACUCCAAAGAGAAAGGUAUUGAAGGAAGAGAAUACUGGGCCCUCAGAAUUAGGGUUGGUCUGAUUUCAAGUCUCCUUCACCAGAGCACUGCCAGACAAAACAAACAAAAUCACCUGCCUGCUGACAUCCACAAUGCUUCAUUUAAUAGACCCCUUUAUCUAGAAUACGUGACAUCGCCUCAUACUUAAUUGUACAGCACUUGCUUUUGGCAUUGUCUUUGGGUCUGCUCCAAGAUAGAAUUUCCUGUUUGGGGAGCUUUUUGGCUUACAAAUUCAGAUAAUCCUCAAUAUAUCUAUUUUUUAAUUAUUACAGGUUUCCUGGUUCAGCCAUUACUAACCUUUUGUCCUCAAAUUCAUCACUCUGCUACUGUGCAUUGCAUAAAAAGUAAUCACCUCUGCAUUUCUUCCUCAUAAACUAUCUUCUUCCUGAUUCUUCUCUCGAAUAGUCACAAAACACCAUCUGCGCCCGUUAUGACUUUAGUGUCUCUCAGCUCCAAAUCCACCUUUCUUUGUCUUGCUUUGUGAUACAGGAGCUGAACUAUGUAAACAUUUCCCCUUUGUCGGCUGGUGCAAUGUGAGGCUUUGUCAGCAGGGGGCGUGGAAGAGAUAUCGCUGGAGGAAGAGGUGGCUCUUCCUGCUUCUUGCGUGCAGGUUUCGCUCCGGCAGCUCUUGAAAGCAAGCAGCAUAUGGGACGCCCAGCGGCGCUCGCGCUCCAGCAAGUUUCGCUGGCGCCGCUGCAGAGUCUCACUAGCACCUCAGAGGGUGGCUUCCCAGUGAGUUUCCCCAACCUCCCAGAGGGCUGAUUACUAGCUCGUUUCAUUGGGGCCCCGACAGGUGGUUUUCAGUCAGCCCGAGCUGGUGGCACUUCAGCAAAUUUCUCUGCCAUUAAUAGAGCACAGCCACACCCUCUCCAACGUUGGCCUCCUUUCAGGUCUCUUCCUUCCAUGGGUACUUAGCCUCAGCUGUAGAGGUAAUAGCUACUCCCUAGAGCUUCUAUUCUUAUAUUCUGAGUUCUCUUUAUCGCUUAGUUGUUAAUUUCCUGUUAUUAGUUAACUAUUAAUUAUUUAUCCCGUGGUUGUUAAUCC
ensembl:lncRNA